CGUAGGGGGCGAGCGUUGUCCGGAUUCAUUGGGCGUAAAGAGCUCGUAGGCGGUUUGAUAAGUCGGGUGUGAAAUCUCCAGGCUCAACCUGGAGAGGUCACUCGAGACUGUUAUGACUAGAGUCCGGUAGGGGACCACGGAAUUCCUGGUGUAGCGGUGAAAUGCGCAGAUAUCAGGAGGAACACCAGUGGCGAAGGCGGUGGUCUGGGCCGGAACUGACGCUGAGGAGCGAAAGCGUGGGUAGCAAACAGGAUUAGAUACCCUGGUAGUCCACGCCGUAAACGUUGGGCACUAGGUGUGGGGCCUUAUCAACGGGUUCCGUGCCGUAGCUAACGCAUUAAGUGCCCCGCCUGGGGAGUACGGCCGCAAGGCUA
rnacentral:rRNA from 1 species